GGGCGAGUGGUGAAACUGGUAGACACGCAAGCUUGAGGGGCUUGUGGCCUUUUGGCUGUGGAAGUUCAAAUCUUCUCUCGCCCACAA
rnacentral:tRNA from 1 species